GGGUACACAUGGUUGAACUCAACCACUAGUUGCCCAUUAGGAGAGACUUUCCCAGUGUACUCCAUUUCAAUACUUUUUCUUUUAUCUCUUUUUCAGAUCUUCCUCAGAAGAAUAGGCUUGUUGCUUUACAGUGUUAGUGAUCCAUUCCCUUUGACGAUCCCUAGGUGGAGAUGGGGCAUGAGGAUCCUCCAGGGGAAAAGCUCACUACCACUGGGCAACAACCCUAGGUCAGGAGGUUCUGUCAGGAUACUUUCCUGGUCUCAGAUAAGAAGAUAAAGUCUCAAAAACAACCACCACACGUCAAGGAGAACAUGGACAACUGCCACAUCAGUGACACUGAUCACAUGGGCAAAUCAUUCUGUUCCAUCUGGUCCCCAAAGUCUCUCUUAAAGCCUUACAGAAGAACUUUGCCAAUCAUUUACAUACUUCGGGAUGGCUUGGCAUGCCAUGGGAUAUAAUAGGACAAGUGAGAGCUCUUCAUUGUUCCUAUCUGCCAAAUCAUUACACUUCCUACAAGCAGUGCAGAGAGCUGAGUCUUCAGCAGGUCCAAGAAAUUUGAACACAUUGAAGGAGGUCAGCCUUCCUACCUGAAGAUCAACAUGCUUGGCACUCUAGCACUUUAGGAUAGCUGAAUGAAUGUGUAUUUCUUAGUCUCUUUCUUCCUUGUCUUUGCUCUUUGUUCUCUAUCUAAAGUGUGUCUUACCCAUUUCCAUCU
rnacentral:lncRNA from 1 species